UGAACGCUGGCGGCGUGCUUAACACAUGCAAGUCGAACGAAGCACCUCUAAUUGAAGAUUGACGAAGCUUGCUUCUGAUUGAUCGCCUUGAGGUGACUGAGUGGCGGACGGGUGAGUAACGCGUGGGUAACCUACCCUAUACAGGGGGAUAACAGUUGGAAACAGCUGCUAAUACCGCAUAAGCGCACAGCUUCGCAUGAAGCAGUGUGAAAAACUCCGGUGGUAUAGGAUGGACCCGCGUCUGAUUAGCUAGUUGGUGAGGUAACGGCUCACCAAGGCGACGAUCAGUAGCCGACCUGAGAGGGUGACCGGCCACAUUGGGACUGAGACACGGCCCAAACUCCUACGGGAGGCAGCAGUGGGGAAUAUUGCACAAUGGGCGAAAGCCUGAUGCAGCGACGCCGCGUGAACGAAGAAGUAUUUCGGUAUGUAAAGUUCUAUCAGCAGGGAAGAAAAAUGACGGUACCUGACUAAGAAGCUCCGGCUAAAUACGUGCCAGCCGCCGC
rnacentral:rRNA from 1 species